GGAUCAAUACGUCGGUCGUGCCUUCGGUACGCACUGGUGUCGUUGAUUUCUCCCUUCUGAUGAACCAUGAUGUCAUUAAUUUGGUGUUGUGGGGAGUCAGGACUGUUACUUUGAAAAAAUUAGAGUGUUUAAAGCAGGCAAACGCUUGAAUACAUUAGCAUGGAAUAAUGAAAUAGGACGUUCGAACCUAUUUUGUUGGUUUCUAGGUACAACGUA
rnacentral:rRNA from 1 species